GCCGAAAUAGCUCAGUUGGGAGAGCUAUAGACUGAAGAUCUAAAGGUCCCUGGUUCGAUCUCGGGUCUCGGCA
rnacentral:tRNA from 1 species